GAAUAGCAUUACGCAUGCGUACUGCGGUCUGUCACGCUAUUACUGCAAAUAAAGACAUUCAGUUAGCCACGUGGGAAGUAUUGAGACUGGUGAACGUGUAGUGACUGACCUCUUGCAAGAAAAGUGUUUUGAAUUCUGGCGGUGAUGGAAUCUUCGAAUUACUGAACAGCGAUCAAGAGAUAUGCGGUAAAUGUUUUUAGCUCAGGUCAUAAGCAAGAAACUGCAGGCAAGCAUGUCACCCAACUUCCACUUACGAUUCGUCGUCCCAGGUUUUUUAAUUAUUAUUCACCGACAGUAAUGCUGUUAGAAUUUCCAGCCACUGUAACAUCACUACAGAACGUCAGAAGGGGGGUCAGACUGUUGAUACGGAGUGUUAUCGAUCGUGAAAGCAACCGUAAAAUAAAUUAUAGGAGGAGAUAAAAUAAACUGUUUAUUUCUUAAAUUAGAUGGAAUGAAACUAUGUCAGUAUAUACGACUGUCCUACGUAACAGAUAACAUUUCCAUUUGGAAAGAUAUUCAAAUAAAAAGUACAUGAAACCAUUC